rnacentral:misc_RNA from 1 species
GAACGCACCUUGCACUCUUUGGUAUUCCGAAGAGUAUGUCUGUUUGAGUGUCAUGAAACUCUCAACCCCCUCAUUUUGUAAUGAAGUGAGUCGUGGGCUUGGAUUAUGGCUGUCUGUCGGCUUCAUUGCCGGCUCAGCUGAAAUACACGAGUAACCCAGUUUGAAAAACUGACGGCUUGACUCGGCGUAAUAAUUAUUAUCGCUGAGGACGUCUAACCUUCAAAUCGUUAGUGGUGCUUCUAAUGCAAAUCAUUUUAAGAUUUAGACCUCAAAUCAGUCAGGAUUACCCGCUGAACUUAAG